rnacentral:rRNA from 1 species
UGAUAGUACCCGAAGAGGAAGGGACGGCUAACUCUGUGCCAGCAGCCGCGGUAAUACAGAGGUCCCAAGCGUUGUUCGGAUUCAUUGGGCGUAAAGGGUGCGUAGGCGGCGCGGUAAGUCGGGUGUGAAAUCUCGGAGCUUAACUCCGAAACUGCAUUCGAUACUGCCGUGCUUGAGGACUGGAGAGGAGACUGGAAUUUACGGUGUAGCGGUGAAAUGCGUAGAUAUCGUAAGGAAGACCAGUGGCGAAGGCGGGUCUCUGGACAGUUCCUGACGCUGAGGCACGAAGGCCAGGGGAGCAAACGGGAUUAGAUACCCCGGUAGUCCUGGCAGUAAACGGUGCACGUUUGGUGUGGGAGGAUUCGACCCCUUCUGCGCCGGAGCUAACGCGUUAAACGUGCCGCCUGGGGAGUACGGUCGCAAGAUUAAAACUCAAAGAAAUUGACGGGGGCCCGCACAAGCGGUGGAGUAUGUGGCUCAAUUCGAUGCAACGCGAAGAACCUUACCAGGCCUUGACAUGCAUCUCUGAGUUGGUGAAAGCCAGCGAGUCCCGAAAGGGACAAUUUGCACAGGUGCUGCAUGGCUGUCGUCAGCUCGUGUCGU